rnacentral:rRNA from 1 species
GACGAACGCUGGCGGCGUGCCUAACACAUGCCAGUCGAACGGAAAGGCCCUGCUUUUGUGGGGUUCCCGAUUGCCGAUCGCGGGAGUAUCACGUGAGUAACCUGCCCUUGACUUUCGGAUAACUUCAGGUAACUGGGGCUACUACCGGAUAGCAUCUCCUGCUCCAUGGUGGGGGUUGGAACGUUUCGGCUGUUGGGGAUGGACUCGCGGCUUAUCAGCUUGUUGGUUGGGUAGUGGCUUACCCAGGCUUUGACGGGUAGCCGGCCUGUGAGGGUGACCGGCGACAUGGGGACUGAGAGAGGGCGCAGACGCGUACGGGAGGCAGCAGGGGGGAAUAUGGCACAGUGGGCGGAAGCCUGAUGAAGCAACGCCGCGUGCGGGAUGACGGCCUUCGGGUUGUAAACCGCUGUCGCCUGUGACGAAGCGUGAGUGACGGUAAUGGGUAAAGAAGCACCGGCUAACUACGUG